rnacentral:rRNA from 1 species
GUAGUCUCGCACAGAUGCAUAUCAAUAAGCGGAGGAAAAGAAACUAACAAGGAUUCCCUCAGUAACGGCGAGUGAAGCGGGAAGAGCUCAAAUUUGAAAUCUUGAAAGGUCACCUUUCACGAAUUGUAGUUUAAAGAAGUGUUUUCUGUUACGAUCGUAAUAUAAGUUCUUUGGAAUAGGACAUCACAGAGGGUGAGAAUCCCGUCUAUGAUUGCGAUUUGUAGCUUUGUGAUACACUUUCAAAGAGUCGGGUUGUUUGGGAAUGCAGCCCAAAACGGGAGGUAAAUUUCUUCUAAGGCUAAAUAUUGGCGAGAGACCGAUAGCGAACAAGUACCGUGAGGGAAAGAUGAAAAGAACUUUGAAAAGAGAGUUAAAUAGUACGUGAAAUUGUCAAAAGGGAAGCGUUUAACACCAGUGUUGUUUUCUGAAAAUCAACCUCUGUUAGCUUUAUGCAUGUUUGUUUAGACCUAAUCAGCUAUCUUGCAUGUUCUAUUGUUUGCAGUGGUGCACUUUUCAGUUUACAGGUCAACAUCAGUUUUUUUACCGUAAAAAAGUUAAAGAAAGGUAGCUCAUGGCUCCGGUCGUGAGUGUUAUAGUCUUUUUCCUAUGCGGUAGGAGAGACUGAGGUCUGCAGUGUAGGCUAUUUGGCUAGAUACUCAGGUGCUAUGUGAUACCAUUUCAUAAACAACUUGUUGAUUAUGUUUUGUCUAUUGCAUACUCGCUUGUACUAUCAUACCUACGCUUAGGAUGUUGAAGAUGUAGCACAUCAU